UGGAAUUUGGUUAUUCACCAUGUACGAGGAUCCCCGCUAAGCAUCCAUGGCUGAAUGGUUAAAGCGCCCAAUUCGCUCGAAUGACCCCUUCUCAUAACGAUCCUAAGGUAGCGAAAUUCCUUGUCGGGUAAGUUUCGACCCGCACGAAAGGCUUAACGAUCUGGGCACUGUCUCGGAGAGAGGCUCGGUGAAA
rnacentral:ncRNA from 1 species